GAAUCAUGAGGAUACCAUCUCCAAGCAGGUGGAGUAUUUGAUCCCUUUAGCAAGGCAGUGAUUUUGAAAUUCGGGUUUAGACAAAAAGAUAUUUCAAGCUCCUGAAGAACAAGUUUGAAGGAUUCAGAGCAGAGAAUUGCACCCUGGCAUGAUGCCUAUGCCAGCUGGACUGUGUGAUUUUUGUUCUUUAGUAGAAGGAUAACAUGACAUAGCAGGAAUAAUACUGCCUUUUCUUUCUGGCAUGGAUCAAGAGAAAAGAAAAUACAAGAAAACAGACAGAAGGCUUCUGACAGCUUUGGAGAUUGUGACAUUGGAAUAAAGGAAAAACGUACAGGACUCAUGAAGCGCUGAAAUGUUCACAAAUAUCAAGCAAAAGUCAAUGAAAUUUAUUUUGAGCUAUUUACAUCAUUUAAUAAUUGAGCAAGGUAUACUCCUAUGAACAAAAUUUGGAGCAUGUUUGUCUCUCUCUGCCUGGCGUCUUCAGAAUUUGGAAACUAGUUAUGGUUUAUAAUCAGCUAUAGAAUUUUAACACGUGCUCUCAAAUGCAAGUUUCUGAUAACUUUGGAGAUUGUGACAUUGGAAUAAAGGAAGAGCUGGAAUGUUCAUGAAUAUCAAGCAAAAGUCAUGGAAAUUUAUUUUGAGCUAUUUACAGCAUUUAAUAAUUGAGCAAGGUAUACUCCUAUGAACAAAAUUUGGAGCAUGUUUGUCUCUCUCUGUCUGCCUGGCAUCUACAGAAUUUGGAAACUAGUUUCGUUCCCAGAUUUCCUAAACUUUCCAGAGAAAAUGGUCUUCUCCCUGGCUCAGCAAGAAGAUGAACUUUAAACACUGAGAAACUGGUCAUCUCCCUGGCUCAACCAGAAGAUGAACUUUAAACACUACUCUCAAUGACUUGAUGUUCCCAUCACUACUCCUGUCAUAAAGGGAGGGGACUCAGAUAUUGAGAAUUUUAUGAUAGUGUGAACUGUCUGGUAUGUCAUUUAAGUAAGCCCGUUGCUGAAAUAUUUUCCAUGUUAUUAGAAAGAGCUGAAGAGAGGGAUUGAGAUGGCUUCUUUAUUUUUUGUCUUUUGGGAAUUAAAGGAACCUGGUUCAACAAGGGCCUACACCUAAGUCUCUUGUUGUACCAGAGUACAAUUUAGGACUGCUCCUGAGGAAGGAAUUAGCUAGAAAUCUAGAGAGUAAGGGUAACAGAUUUACAUAGAAUAACAGCCUCAGUAUUUUUGGUUCCUCUCCAGUAAAGAUCACAAAGAAUAUUGCUAAAUCGCUAAAACACCUUUGCAAUAACGUAAGGGCUUACAACUAUAUACCAAUGUAGCUCAGUUACUAAACUGGAGUAAACUAAUUUCUCUUGUGUAGAAAAAUUGGUUGGCUGUGGUUUUAUAGCAGAUCUGCAAUUAUUAAUAGUUAUGCCAAUAAUCGUUUAACAGUGCAUAUGUUAAUAUAUAUGGAAAGACAAUGUGUAUAGACAGAUGUGUAAAAUUGAAAAAUAAACAUAUAACAAGAGAGAAACAUCUAUCGAACAGACAAUAUACAUACACAUCAAACACAACAGCAGUUUUAGUGACCAUAAUAUUUAUUUCUCAUUUUUACAUUGCUUACUUUAGUGACAACUGAAAAUGACAGUUGGCAAUGCAGCUAACAGUUUCAAUAAAAGUAUAAAACAAAAGACUGUGUACAAAGCACCUGUCUUUCCGCUUUUGUAAUCUUCCGUUGGAAAAAAUUUACACACCUAAGUAACCAUCUGUUUUCUUCAAGAAAAAAUCAUUCUUAUUUCUCUCUCUCAUCUUGAAAACAGCUGUCAGCCAGGAGGGCAGAGCUGAAAUUUAUUGCCACAUCACAUGAAGCAUAGAACAGACUCCACUACUCCUUGAGAUUCAAAACUUUGCCUCUCACAAAGUUACCUUUUAUUUUCCUCUUGUUUGUCACUCAUCUCCCCUAGUGUGCUCUUUUUAUUUCUUUUACUAUUAAUAAUAAAA
rnacentral:lncRNA from 1 species